rnacentral:rRNA from 1 species
UACGAAGGGGGCUAGCGUUGUUCGGAAUUACUGGGCGUAAAGCGCACGUAGGCGGAUCGAUCAGUCAGGGGUGAAAUCCCAGAGCUCAACUCUGGAACUGCCUUUGAUACUGUCGAUCUGGAGUAUGGAAGAGGUGAGUGGAAUUCCGAGUGUAGAGGUGAAAUUCGUAGAUAUUCGGAGGAACACCAGUGGCGAAGGCGGCUCACUGGUCC